AGACCAUGAUGAGGACAUUUCCUCAAUAGCUCCUUGAAUCUUUCCCAAGUUUCAUAUAAGGAUUUCCCGUCCUUUUGUGAGUAUGUAUUGAUAGCGGCUUCGAGAUU
rnacentral:snoRNA from 1 species